rnacentral:rRNA from 1 species
GAUGAACGCUGGCGGCGUGCCUAAUACAUGCAAGUCGAGCGAAUGGAUUAAGAGCUUGCUCUUAUGAAGUUAGCGGCUGACGGGUGAGUAACACGUGGGUAACCUGCCCAUAAGACUGGGAUAACUCCGGGAAACCGGGGCUAAUACCGGAUAACAUUUUGCACCGCAUGGUUCGAAAUUGAAAGGCGGCUUCGGCGGUCACUUAUGGAUGGACACGCGUCGCAUUAGCUAGUUGGUGAGGUAACGGCUCACCAAGGCAACGAUGCGUAGCCGACCUGAGAGGGUGAUCGGCCACACUGGGACUGAGACACGGCCCAGACUCCUACGGGAGGCAGCAGUAGGGAAUCUUCCGCAAUGGACGAAAGUCUGACGGAGCAACGCCGCGUGAGUGAUGAAGGCUUUCGGGUCGUAAAACUCUGUUGUUAGGGAAGAACAAGUGCUAGUUGAAUAAGCUGGCACCUUGACGGUACCUAACCAGAAAGCCACGGCUAACUACGUGCCAGCAGCCGCGGUAA